UGUAUCUGCCGGGAAUCGAACCCGGGUUGCCCGCGUGGCAAGCGAGCAUUUUACCACUGAAAUACCGAUGC
rnacentral:tRNA from 1 species